UCUGUUUUGGCGGUUCGCUGUCGCGGCGUCUGCAAGAGGAUUAUGCUUUCACCUACCACAUGUACAGCGCAGUCCAGCGACUUGGGUCCUAGUUGACGUGAUGAAACCAUCGAUGAAGAAGCCUAAGCCAGCCGAAAACAGAAAUGUCGGUAGUUUCUUCAAGUUACGGACAUGGAUGGAGCUUGCCAGGGAUUGUGGCUUUUGAACAAGAUUCAGGAAAAACAAACUAGUAGAAAACGAUAAAAUUCUCAAGUACAGAUGAAUGCUCAACCAUGCAGAGGUCGCUCGUCCUACGACUGUUCAACUGAAAGAAACCACAUCAGCGAUUCAUCACCUGGGCAAAAGAAUCAUCGGUGAAAAAGCAGAUAACUGACAAGGACUGCUACUGAACGUGAAAAGAAAGCAGAGACACUACACUUCUAGAGUGCAUUUUUUGCUAAUCUAGAGUAAGCGUGCCAAAUGGUUAGUAGCACGUAAUUGCAAGAUGUGGCGAUUAGAUAAGGUAACUGGAAAUAUAAUCAGACAUGAUUACAAUCA